CGCGGCCUAUCAGCUUGUUGGUGGGGUAGUGGCCUACCAAGGCGACGACGGGUAGCCGGCCUGAGAGGGCGACCGGCCACACUGGGACUGAGACACGGCCCAGACUCCUACGGGAGGCAGCAGUGGGGAAUAUUGCGCAAUGGGCGAAAGCCUGACGCAGCGACGCCGCGUGAGGGAUGACGGCCUUCGGGUUGUAAACCUCUUUCAGCAGGGACGAAGCGCGAGUGACGGUACCUGCAGAAGAAGCACCGGCUAACUACGUGCCAGCAGCCGCGGUAAUACGUAGGGUGCGAGCGUUGUCCGGAAUUAUUGGGCGUAAAGAGCUCGUAGGCGGUUUGUCGCGUCGACUGUGAAAACCUACAGCUUAACUGUGGGCUUGCAGUCGAUACGGGCAGACUUGAGUUCGGUAGGGGAGACUGGAAUUCCUGGUGUAGCGGUGAAAUGCGCAGAUAUCAGGAGGAACGCCGGUGGCGAAGGCGGGUCUCUGGGCCGAUACUGACGCUGAGGAGCGAAAGCGUGGGGAGCGAACAGGAUUAGAUACCCUGGUAGUCCACGCCGUAAACGGUGGGAACUAGGUGUGGGGGGCUUCCACGUCCUCCGUGCCGUAGCUAACGCAUUAAGUUCCCCGCCUGGGGAGUACGG
rnacentral:rRNA from 1 species